GCAUCCAUGGCUGAAUGGUUAAAGCGCCCAACUCAUAAUUGGCGAAUUCGUACUGGAUGCA
rnacentral:tRNA from 1 species